UCGAAUUGUAGGGUUUGUUGCCGUUGCAACCGUGGUCUUCUUCAACUGUCGUCCUUCCCUCCAGUGGCGGAGUCAAGAUUUUGACUAAGGGGUUUAAAAUAUGAAGAAGUAGACAGAUGAACUAAUCGAAGGUACCCGUUAUGGGGCUAGUUUGAGGAAACAGAUUAAGAAGGUGAAGGUCAGUCAGCACAGCAAGUAUUUUUGUGAGUUCAGUGGGAAGUAUGCCGUGAAGAGGAAGACUCUUGGUAUUUUAGGGCAGCAAAGAUUGUGGCAAAGUUAAAGCAGGGGGUGCCUAUACACUCAACACUGCAAGCGCUGUCACUGUUAGGAGCACCAUUCGAAGGCUUAGGGAGCAGACAGAGAGCUAGAGACUUCUAAUUCUUACUGGAAUCUCAAUGCUUGAUUUUGCUAAUAGAGAUAUCUGUCAUGUUUUGACUCAAAUUGUUACCUCUGGUUCCUUGUCUUUUGAGCAAUUCUAAAUCUGGCUAUUAUGCACAAAGCAUUUCUUAUUAGUGCAACUAAUUCAGACAAAAUUAUAGAA